rnacentral:rRNA from 1 species
UACGGGGGGGGCAAGCGUUGUUCGGAAUUACUGGGCGUAAAGGGCUCGUAGGCGGCCAACUAAGUCGGAUGUGAAAUCCCCAGGCUCAACUUGGGAACUGCAUCCGAUACUGGAUGGCUUGAAUCCGGGAGAGGGAUGCAGAAUUCCAGGUGUAGCGGUGAAAUGCGUAGAUAUCUGGAGGAAUACCGGUGGCGAAGGCGGCAUCCUGGACCGGCAUUGACGCUGAUGAGCGAAAGCCAGGGGAGCAAACGGG